AAAUUGGUUUUUUUUAAAACCAUCAGACUCUCUCACUGAAAUUCUC
rfam:Macrostomum lignano uti_cns_0047866, whole genome shotgun sequence.